CUAUCAAACCUCUUUUACCCAACCUCAUCUCAAACACUCAAGGAAGUUUUGUUCCCGGUCGUCAAAUUACGGAUAAUAUUGUAAUUAUGCAGGAAGUCAUUCAUACUCAAGGAAGUUUCAUUCGUGCAGCACCAGCACGCUCGCGUUUCUUCUUUCAUUUUUCUCGCUGAAACUCCUCUCUCUUCUCUCUCUCCUCUCUCACACAUAAACGAACGGCGACUACCGACUUACUUACCGAGAUACUUCCGGCGAAACCAGUGAGGGGCGCGGACCGCCGUCACUGCGACGCUGCCUGAACCAGCGAAUCUCUGUUUCUCUCUAAGUCGCCUCUCAUUGUUAUCUAUCUCUUUCCCUCUAUCGCCUCUUUGUGUCUCCAGGUUCUUAUCAGUCUACUUUAAAAAUUCAAAAUUUUUAAGGUUUGCAAGUUGGAAUUUUUGUCACUUGUGAAUACUGAAUAGUGAUGGCCACCAACUCUAGUCACGAAGAUCCAACACCAACAACAAAGAAUCCUGUCACAACAACUGCUACACUUACCAUCCCAGCAAGUGUUUCAAAAUUACAACCAAUAUCUCAACCUAGAACCCCAUUAUUUCUCCAACAUCAUCCACAAAUUCAACACUCUUUCCAACAUCAUCCUCAGCCUGUGCCAUUUACAGCACCAACUUCGAUUCAAAGCCAAACUCAGCCUAUUCGGUACCCAUUAGCUUCUUCGGGACGUGGAAUUCUUCCUACAAUUGGAUGCACUCGUCCAAAUUCUUCUCAGCAUCAGCAGUAUCAGCAUCAAUCGUCUGCUCAUCUUUUACUUCGACCUCUUAAUGCUCAUAUAUCACCUGCUCCUGCUGUUGCUAGACCCAUUCCCUUGAAUAAUCCUCCUCAGUCUAAGGCUGGUUCAUCUCCCUACUUUAUCGCUGAUAGUAGUGAUUCUAAAGAUCCGCUGGACAAAGGUACAGAUGAUAUGUUGGUCACUCUCAGAGAUCGAAAGGUGAGGAUAACAGAUGGGGCUUCUUUCUAUGCUCUCUGUCGGUCGUGGCUGAGGAAUGGUUAUGUCGAAGAAAAUCAACCACAGUAUGGUGAUAUUUUUAGUAGAUCUCUUCCAAAACCCUUGCCCCUGCCUGAAUCUUUUACACCUAAGAGAAAGGAGUGUGAUGAUGAAACAGAAGUUGACGAGGCUGAGAAAUUAGGUAAUGCUGAAGAGCUGCUGUCAAUGCAUGUUAGGCGAGCUAAGAGAGUUCGAACAAGGAGACAAAUUCGAGCUUCAAAGCUCACCUUGCAUUUAACGUCUUCAGCAAGUUUUUGCGGGUAGGCACACACAACACAUUCUUUGGUAGCAGGUUAUUCUUCAGAAUACAUUCCCAUAAUGUGAGAUGACAGAUGUAUCACCUACAUUCCCAUAAUGUGAGAUUACAGAUGCAUCACCUGUAGAUUGAGGGAAGAAAGAUUGCAACGAAUUGAAAGAUACAAAAGCAGGCUUGGUCUUCUUCUUCAUCCUCCGAAUGGAACAACGCAGGAAUGAUACAAACAUGGGUCCUAUUACCAAUAUCUGCUAUAUCAUACCGUGGAGUGUUUGAUGAAGUGGAGGACUUGAAGCUAUUUAUCUUCUUUGAAGUGCAAAAUGUUCCAUAUAGUAGUCCUAGUUGGGUGACUUGGGUCCCUUGCCUUGGUAAUUGAUUUCCAAGUUUUUACCCAGUUUUUACUUUUUAGUGCCCAAGUAUGUUUCUCGAGAAACAGUUUGCAAGCAGAAGGUGAUCCUUCUACUCUGAUUUUCUCACCUGAAACAACUACUGCGACGUUGUAGCAAUGUCUUUGAAUGGGUGGUGGUUGUGGGUAGCUCUUAAUGGACGAUUUUCUAGGACUAGGACUGGAAUUCUAUUACAAGAAUGUUGGUUAGAGUUUUCUCUCCCCCCCCCCCCCUGCUAGGAAAAAUUUGUCAGAGGUAGGAGUACAAAGAAUUAAGACUUUUUUCUGAGCUUUUGGUGGUCUAAUUUGACAGCCAUGUAAAUCGAGGUUAUGUUGGUCGAUUUGACGCCCAAAAGUUUAUAUAGGAUGAGUAUUUGCAGUAA